UCAAGUUAGAAAGAGCGCAAGGGGAAUGCCUUGGCACUGGGAGCCGAAGAAAGACGCGAUAAGCUGCGAUAAGCUGCGGGGAGCUGCAAAUGAGUUUUGAUCCGCAGAUUUCUGAAUGGGGAAACCCACAUGAGUAAAGCUCAUGUAUCAUUAACUGAAUACAUAGGUUAAUGAAGGGAACCGCCUGAACUGAAACAUCUAAGUAGGGCGAGGAAGAGAAAUCAAAAGAGAUUCCGUGAGUAGUGGCGAGCGAAAAUGGAAGAGGCCAAACCGUAAGUAGCAAUAUUUACGGGGUAUGGACAGCGUACGGUAUCAGCAAUCAUAACCGAAGGGCAUGGGAAGGCCCGCCGAAGAGAGUGAGAGCCUCGUAGGUGAAAUGAGAGCUGAGUCAGCUGUAUCCGGAGUACCGCGGGACACGAGGAAUCGCCGUGGGAAAGCGGGUGGACCACCAUCCAAGCCUAAAUACUACCCAGUGACCGAUAGUGGAGCAGUACCGUGAGGGAAAGGUGAAAAGGACCCCGGGAGGGGAGUGAAACAGAACCUGAAACCUUGUGCUUACAAAUGCUCAGAGCACGUUAAUGUGUGAUGAGGUACUUUUUGUAGAACGGUCCGGCGAGUUAUUGUAUCAUGCGAGGUUAAGUGAUUAAGUCACGGAGCCGAAGGGAAACCGAGUGUUAAUAGCGCGAUAAGUACGGUGCAAUAGACCCGAAACCGGGUGACCUAUCCAUGAGCAGGUUGAAGUGGAGGUAAAGCUCCAUGGAGGACCGAACGCACGCCUGUUGAAAAAGUCGGCGAUGACUUGUGGAUAGCGGAGAAAUUCCAAUCGAACUCGGAGAUAGCUGGUUCUCCCCGAAAUAGCUUUAGGGCUAGCGUUAUGACAGAUUACCGAAGGUAAAGCACUGAAUGAGCUAGGGGCCGCGAGGUUACUGAACUCUAUCAAACUCUGAAUGUCGGAUAAUUGAUUCAUAGCAGUCAGACAGCGUGAGAUAAGUUUCGUUGUCAAAAGGGAAACAGCCCAGAUCCACAGCUAAGGUCCCAAAUCUAUGCUAAGUGUAAAAUGAUGUGAAAAUGCGAAAACAACCAGGAUGUUGGCUUAGAAGCAGCCACACAUUUAAAGAGUGCGUAAUAGCUCACUGGUCGAGUGUCUUUGCGCAGAAGAUAUAACGGGGCUAAGCAUAGAACCGAAGCUUGGGCAGUAGAAAUACUGGGUAGGGGAGCGUUCUUACCGGGGUGAAGCAAGAGCGGAAGCACUUGUGGACUUGUAAGAAGUGAGAAUGCCGGAAUGAGUAGCGAGAAUUAUGUGGGAAUCAUAAUGGUCGAAAAUCUAAGGUUUCUUGGGGAAGGUUCGUCCGCCCAAGGUAAGCCGGGAGCUAAGGCGAGGCCGAAAGGCGUAGUCGAUGCACAUACGGUAGAAAUUCCGUAGCCGCUGACAUUUAAACCAGAGGGACACUUAAAGAUAGCAGAAGCCGGGCGUUGGUAGCCCCGGUCGAAAGGGACUGAAAAUUAGUAGGGAAGUCUGCGAUGCUUUGAGGCGAGAAAAGCUCUGGCGUAUACUAAAGCGCCCGUACCGCAAACCGACACAGGUAGAUGAGGAGAGAAUCCUAAGACCAACGGGAGAAGGGUUGUCAAGGAACUCGGCAAAUUAGACUCGUAACUUCGGGAAAAGAGUCGCCCUCGAAAGAGGGUCGCAGUGAAAAGGCCCAAGCGACUGUUUACCAAAAACACAGGUCUCUGCUAAAUCGAAAGAUGACGUAUAGGGGCUGACGCCUGCCCGGUGCCGGAAGGUUAAGAGGAGAGGUUAGCGCAAGCGAAGCUUUGAUCUGAAGCCCCGGUAAACGGCGGCCGUAACUAUAACGGUCCUAAGGUAGCGAAAUUCCUUGUCAGGUAAGUUCUGACCCGCACGAAUGGCGUAACGAUUUGGGCACUGUCUCGACAGCCCACCCGGCGAAAUUAAAGUACUGGUGAAGAUGCCAGUUACCCGCAACUAGACGGAAAGACCCCAUGGAGCUUUACUGUAGCUUGAUACUGGAUUUCGGUAUUUCAUGUACAGGAUAGGUGGGAGACUUGGAACCAUAGGCGCCAGCUUAUGGGGAGUCAUCCUUGGGAUACCACUCUUGAAAUACUGAAGUUCUAACCUGCGGCCAUGAAUCUGGUCGAGGGACACUGUCAGGCGGGCAGUUUGACUGGGGCGGUCGCCUCCCAAAAGGUAACGGAGGCGCUCAAAGGUUGGCUCAGCACGGACGGAAAUCGUGCAUAGAGUGUAAACGCAGAAGCCAGCCUGACUGCGAGACAGACAUGUCGAGCAGAAACGAAAGUUGGAGUUAGUGAUCCGGCGGUAUGUGAGUGGAAAUGCCGUCGCUUAACGGAUAAAAGCUACCCUGGGGAUAACAGGCUGAUCUCCCCCAAGAGUUCACAUCGACGGGGAGGUUUGGCACCUCGAUGUCGGCUCAUCGCAUCCUGGGGCUGAAUUCGGUCCCAAGGGUUUGGCUGUUCGCCAAUUAAAGCGGUACGCGAGCUGGGUUCAGAACGUCGUGAGAC
rnacentral:rRNA from 1 species